AAAUUACUUCCGACAGUUAUUUGCUGCUACCUUCAUUGCAUUAGGAAACAUGCAGUUCAGGUAAUUGAAAUAUUUUUCAUUUAAUGUUAAAUGUUUGGCAAACCAGAGCAAACUUUUUAAAAUCAUGUUCUUUGAUUCUACUCUGCAGAAAUGGAUCAGUCAUCAAUAUCGUGCAAUCUCAGUUUUCAAAGGGGAAUAACACUCCUACUAGCGCUGAAGUAGAGGAGGUUUUAGUGACUGCUUCUCAAAAUGUCACUGGCUUUGACAUUGAAACGAGCUCCAUCAUUGUCAAUUCCAUCCUUACUGUGGAAUCAACGAUACCUUCAACAACGACACUAUUAAGUACCUCUGCUGCUACCAUGACAUCAAUUAUUCCUACAACAACGUCACAAGAAAUUUUAUCAACAAAUCCACUUGAAACAUCAAGUCCAACAUCAUCAAUUACUUCUGAAGAAUCCAUAACAACUACAUCAAAUCCUUCACUGAGCACAACUCUAGCAACAUUUACAACAUCUGGUCAAGCUCCAAGUAAAGCAGAAACUACAACAGGAGCAGAAGAAACUUUGACAUCUCUUUUGACAGCAACCACAUCAAAAACCACACCAAUUACUUUAACUAACCCAACAGCGGAAACUACAACAUUUGAAAGAACAACACCAUUUAGUUCAACAUUUGUUGGACAGACCACAACAGCUCCAUUGACUGCAACAACUCCUCAAACAACAGCCAGAGUUUCUGAACCAACAGAUACAACAUCGUCCACUCUUGAUCUAACAGCUGAGACAACAUCUGUGAUAACAACUGAUGCUUUAACCACUACUGCUUCUUUGACAUUACCUCCUCAAACAACAACAGGAAGACCUUCAACAAUUGCUUCAACAACUGCACUACUAAGUACACCUGCUGCUACCAUGACGUCAGCAAAAAAUCCUACAACAACGCCACAAGAAACUUUAUCAACAAAUCCAGUUGAAACAUUAGGUCCAACAACAUCUUUGUUAUCAACAUCAUCAAUUACUUUUGAAGAAUCCAUAACAACUACAACAAAUCCUUCACUGAGCACAAAUCUAGCAACAUUUACAACAUCUGGUCCAGCUGCAACUACAGCAGAAACGACAACAGGAGCAACUGUCAUCAUCUACUACAUGACAUUUACAUCCCUUCACAGCAAUUUUACAAACGACCUUUUGGAUCCAUCAUCUGCUGCGUAUCAAGCUAGAGUCCAAAUGAUCACCUCAGAGGUACGUUUCUUUGUCAAAGGGCGAAUUCUC
ensembl:lncRNA